AUGCAGUCGAGGGGCAGCGGGGUAGCAAUACUGCCGGCGACCGGCAAACGGGUGCGGAACACGUACGCAACUUUCCCAGAACUGGUGAAUAGCCCUCCGAAAGGAGGAUUAAUACACCGUAAUAUAAUGGAGUGGCAUCACUUUAUUAUUAUAGCUCCGGCGGUUCUGGAUGGGCGUGCGGCUGAUUAGGUAGUUGGCGGGGUAACGGCCCACCAAGCCUUCGAUCAGUAACUGGUGUGAGAGCACGACCAGUCACACGGGCACUGAGACACGGGCCCGACUCCUACGGGAGGCAGCAGUAAGGAAUAUUGGUCAAUGGACGCAAGUCUGAACCAGCCAUGCCGCGUGCAGGAUGAGGGCCCUCUGGGUUGUAAACUGCUUUUAUCUGGGACGAAAAAGGGGCUUUCUAGCUCAACUGACGGUACCAGAGGAAUAAGCACCGGCUAACUCCGUGCCAGCAGCCGCGGUAAUACGGAGGGUGCAAGCGUUAUCCGGAUUUACUGGGUUUAAAGGGUGCGUAGGUGGGUAAGUAAGUCAGUGGUGAAAUCUUCAAGCUUAACUUGGAAACUGCCAUUGAUACUAUUUAUCUUGAAUACUCUGGAGGUAAGCGGAAUAUGUCAUGUAGCGGUGAAAUGCUUAGAUAUGACAUAGAACACCAAUUGCGAAGGCAGCUUACUACAUAGUUAUUGACACUGAGGCACGAAAGCGUGGGGAUCAAACAGGAUUAGAUACCCUGGUAGUCCACGCCCUAAACGAUGGAUACUCGACAUCAGCGAUACACUGUUGGUGUCUG
rnacentral:rRNA from 1 species